GCCCGAUUAGUUCAGCUGGAUAGAAUGUCUGCCUACGGAGCAGAUGGUCGUAGGUUCAGAUCCUGCAUCGGGUA
rnacentral:tRNA from 1 species